UCAAGACUGUGGCCUGCCAGCUUCG
rnacentral:misc_RNA from 1 species